UUAGAUACCCUAGUAUAUUAAAUUAGUAUGAUUAGUAUGAUAAUAAAAUUAAAAUUUUUGGCGGUUGAUUACUGUUAGGGGAGUUUGUUUAUGUAAUUACUCGUUAUAUUUAAUUAAUGAUUUGUUUAUUUAUUUCCGUGGGAGGUAAUAACUUUAAUAGUUUUUGCUUUUAUAUCAGGUCAAGAUGUAGCAAUUGUUGAAUGAAGAAUUAACUACAAUAAUGGAAUUAUGAAACUAAGUUAGUGGAAAAAGUGGAGAAAUUGAACUUAAAUGUAAUUAGAACUAGAAAGUUUUAAUGGAAGAGUUUAAUUAAUGUACAUAUUGCCCGUCACUUCUUUUGUUAGGGGGAAUAAGUCGUAACA
rnacentral:rRNA from 1 species